rnacentral:rRNA from 1 species
AAAGGAAUAGACGGGGGCCCGCACAAGCGGAGGAACAUGUGGUUUAAUUCGAUGAUACGCGAGGAACCUUACCCGGGCUUGAAAUGUGACCGACAGGGGGCAGAGACGCCCCCCUCCUUCGGGCGGUCAUGUAGGUGCUGCAUGGUUGUCGUCAGCUCGUGCCGUGAGGUGUCGGCUCAAGUGCCAUAACGAGCGCAACCCCUUCCGCCGGUUACCAUCAUUCAGUUGGGGACUCCGGCGGCACUGCCAUCGCAAGAUGCGAGGAAGGCGGGGAUGACGUCAAAUCAGCACGGCCCUUACGUCCGGGGCCACACACGUGUUACAAUGGGGGGCACAGCGAGCUGGUGCAUGGCGACAUGCAUCGAAUCAUGAAAUCCCCUCCCAGUUCGGACUGGAGUCUGCAACCCGACUCCACGAAGCCGGAUUCGCUAGUAAUCGCGCAUCAGCCAUGGCGCGGUGAAUACGUUCCCGGGCCUUGUACACACCGCCCGU